CUUUAUUUUACUUUGAUAGUAAUACAGUUGGUAGUCGUUGUUUAUGCGACGAUGUUGAAAUAUUCCGUUUGAAUUUGAAUAGGUUCUAAAUAAUUGUAAUACAAUAAAAAUGUCUCCUUCCAGAUCUAGAAGAAACAGUUCAAGACGUUCUUCCAUUCUUAAGCCUUCUAAGCCACGUCAAGCUCUACAAAAUUUAAACAUCAAUAGUUCAUCCAGUGAAAACAGUCCAGCUACUACAUCAAAAUUUAAACGACGAGUUAGUUUUGCAGAAAAAAAGCAUGUUAAAGAAUUUUGUAACUCCGUGGAGCAAGGAACCGUAUGGGAUACUACAUACGAAGAACAUGAUUUAAGUAAUUUAAAAAUUCCAGGUACUUUUAAUCAAGAAGAACAUAAUGUUCACAUUGCUCAUAAAGAAAAUAUUGUUGUCUGCAAUGAAGAAAAUAACAUGCAAGUUACAUAUAAGGAAAUGAUUGAAGAAGAUUUAAGUACAAAAGAUAGCGAUUUACGUUGUAUAAAUAUAACUGAUGGCAUAAAAAGUAAUGAUCCGUUAUUAAGUCAAAUCAAGAUUAAUUUACAGUUGGAAAAUGAUAAUGACAUUUUUAAAACUACCAUUUCAUGUAGAAAUUCUAAAGAAAACUUAUCCGAUAAGAUUUCAGAAAUUUCACGAUUAAAUUUGAAUAACAUUGAUUCUAAUAAUUUAGACACAAUAUCUGUUCAGGAUGUGCCAAUGGAUUUUACUGAAAUCGUUUGCCAUGCUAUGUAUUAUGACAUAAAUUAUGUUCAAAACAAUAAGUUAGAAAAACCACUUCAAAACAUGUCUAUGGAAUUAACACAACCUAUCUCUUCAUGCGUAAAUAUGUUACAAAAUUCUCAACAAGAACAAAAUAUCGGAGAACUUAAUUGUGUAUCUCAAUUGGAUAAAUCCGAAGCAAUAGCUGAUCAAUGUACGUCAAUGGAAACGACUGUUGCAGUACCAUCUACUAUCAUUACUAAUACUACUGAUCGAGUAAAUUUGUCAAUAUAUUCUCCAAAUGACAAGAUUAAAAGAUUUAAUAAUAUUUCAAUGGAAAUAACUACACCAGUACCAUCUGUACUAUCUACAAUAGAGCAGUCAGCAACUAAUAAUGAAUCAGAAACCUGUGGUUCAGGAUUAAUGGCAUAUAUCAAUAAUAAAACUACCAUUUUUCAUGAUACUUCAAUGGAAAUUACUAAUGUUGUGAAAACAAAAACUAAUAAGUACUUGGAUUGUCAGCUCGACGAACGUGAUAGAUUAACAGCAACAGAAGAAACAAACUCUCAGUGUGAUAACGAAAAAACCAUAUUGUCAAAUAUAUCUAUAGAAAUGACUGCAACAGUUCCAGCUAAUAUACAUUCCAUAACUGAAAGUCAAGAAAAAAAAGAAGCAAAUUGUAACGUUACAAAUGUUUUUAUAGGUAAUAACUUUCAAAACGUAAUGUUUGAUGUAGAUGGUUGUAAACCAUCAGUUGAUCUUGAUAAAACCAAAAUAUGUGAUAAUGAAUUAAUGGAAUUUACUGAAGGUAUAACAAUUUGGCCUAAAAGCAAUUUAGCAAAUAAUGAACCGAUUCAAAAUAGUUUUCCUAAUCAAUGGAACAAUGAUGGUGAGGAUGAGAACAUAAACCUAAUAUUAAAUAAUUCGCAAAAAGUAAAGUCCGACAUAGAUUACUAUAAAGAACCAAUUAGUGCCAAUCAAACCAAGGUAUAUGAUAAUGAAGCAAUGGAAUUUACCGAAGCUAUAACAGUUUCACCUAAAACGAAUUUAAUAAAUAGCAAACUUGUACAAAAUAGUAGUCCCAGCCAAUGGAACAAUAAUAAUAAAGAUAAUGAUAUAAACUCAACAUCAAAUAAUAUUACCAUUUGUCAAAAUAAUUUAAUGACAUCUGCAAAGAUGGUAUCACCAUCUGGUAUAAAAGAUAAUUUUGAAAAAGUAACUGAUGAUUAUGAAUCAAAUAGUAAUAAUCAAGAUACAAUUAAAACAUCAUCCUGUUCAAAUAUGUCAAUGGAAAUUACAGAAGCCGUAAUGGCAUUGCAGUGUCAUCUUCCAACAGAGAAUCCUUUUAUAAAUGGUACUUAUAUUACAGAAUCAACAUUGAUUGAAAAUGUCGAAAACAAAGAUAAACAUUCUAUAAAUUCUACUGCACCAAAUGAUGAUGUUUUAAAAGAUCUGGUAGUUUCAUCUUCUUUAAACUCAGGUUCAAUUUUAAACAAAGAAACGCAUAUAACAGAUAACUUUUCACAAUGUUUUGGAAAAAUGACUGCAGAAAUACCUGUUUCAACAGAGACUGAAAAUUUUGUAAAUGUAACUAAUAUGGCUUUGCUCGAAUCGAUGCAAGCAGACGUUGAUGUUUCGACUUCAAAAAUCAUUAAUACACCUAAUGUCGAUUUGAUUGAAUCCGGGAAACAGAAUACGGAUGUAUCGUCGAAAGAAAAUAUUCGAGAAAAAACUUAUACUCUAACUCCUGUAUUAAAUGAACCUUCUAGUAUCGUAAUAUCAGAGAUAAGUCAGAAUGAACUUUCAUCGCAUAAACAGUUACAAAAUGUUAUAUCAAAUCCAAGACGAACGUAUGUUAUUCAGCCAUUAAAUACUAUUGAUCACUAUUGUAAUAAAGAUGAUAGUGAAACAACUAAUAAUAUCAAUAAUGAGAUAAAGAAUGAUAGUUUUUGUUACACAUCAAAUGAUAGCAGAAAUUGUGCACAUAGUAGUUUGAAUGGCAUAGAAAGUCUGAAAGACUUUCAAAAUAAUGAAGUAGACCAUUUAACAGAGCAAGACGUUAUAUUUUUCAGUAAUACCGUGGAAGAACUAAACACAAUUACACCACCAUCAUUUGUUUGUAUGAAUGAUUCGUUAGAUUUAAAUACGUCGGUAGAUACGUGUAAAGAAGCAAAUUCUGAUUCAGAUAAAAUUAAAAUUUCACAGACAAUCGAACUAGAAAAUAUUUCAAAAAAUAAAUAUAGUUUGGAAGAUGUUAGCGAUUUUCAUGAAAACAUUUUGAAAGCGGAUCAAGUACCCACUGUACAAAUAGAGAAAGUAAAUGAAAAUUGUUUAAACGAUGAUUUAAGAUCAAGUUUAAAAUCCCAUGAUUGUUUGGAAAAGAGCGCCAUAACUACCGAAUUCGAUCCUUUUUCUUCGCUAAUGAAUAAAUUGAGAAUUUGUGCUGAAAGCGAUAAGAUUAUUUGGGAAGUCUAUCAUGAAAAUAUUGAGAAGAACCUGUUUGUAAUUGGUUUCAUAUCUUCUUCCUUGUUAGUAAUAAUAUAUUUAAAAGAUCACUGUGAUGCUAUAAGUGAUCAGCCGAUUAAAGAAAUUAAAAUAUGUUCUCGCCUAAGAGACGACGCUGACGCCUUAAUAAGCAUGGUUCAUCGGGUAAUCUUAGAAAAGUUAGACACCCAAGUGUUGAUAGAUUUAUGCGAAAAUUCUGAAGAUAUUUUUUCAUUGUUAAAUUACAUUUCAAAAGAAGUAAAAUUAGCUAUGGACUUCAUGUUCGACGUGGAACGUAUGAGAGAUGUAACUCUGAUGGAAAUAACUGGUGACAGCAUAUCUUUUAUAGCAUUUGGGAAAAAGAAAGAUAUUAUACUGAGGGUGACGGUAGAUAUAAAACCAUUUGAUAAAAUCGAAUCAAAAGAUAUUUCUAUUUAUUGUAAAUUAGGUUCAGUGAGGGAAGAAGACGUUAAACGACUAAUAAAAAAUAUAAAACGGGACCACAAAUUUUUACGAAGAUUCAUAAACGACGUGAACGAUUAUAUAUACUUGAUGGAAGAGUCUGUUAACAUAAUUAAAAGAUGAUGUUAAAGUAUCAUAGUGACUGGUAUAAAAAUAUCGUUGUCAACGUACUUCGCUAACACGUAACACCGAACGUAAUAAUCGUGGGUGGUACACGAAUGUCUCUUUCUUAUUUGAACAUCAGCACUGUAAAGCUGCACAAAUGUUAAGUUACGAGUAAAGGUCGAUCAACUAGUUCUCCGAUACAGCCGGUUCAGUCGAUACAGCUUUUUGUGCAAACAUUUGUAGUUGUGAUAGCAUCGCGUGAACAGUCGGCUUUCUCAGAAUCGUAUGACUUUCCGUCUUAUUUUCCAGCGUGUUCAUCGUCGGUAAUUGCAGUAACGAUAUUGUUAUUUGUAAGAUUCUAUUAGUUGAUCGUAUAAUUAAAAUCGUACGCACAGUUUGGAUCGAUUAAAUUUGAAUGAAAUUUGAAUUGCAUGUUGUCACGGUCUAUAGUCUAUAAGAAUCACGAGAUUCGAUCGUGGUCAUUCUGGUUGAAUAAAAGUUUGUUUACGCUAUA
rnacentral:misc_RNA from 1 species